CUGAACUUCAUAUAUAUGCAAGUGUUAUAAUAACAAAAUUUAGCUUAUACCAUGUAAAUGUUUAAACAUGUAUAAAGAAUCGUACAUAAUUCUUGAAUAAACAUCUCUGAUUUGCAACGCGGACUGUUCUACAUGCAAUUGCUACUUUAGAAACAUAUUUUCAGCAAACAGUAAAACCAUGGAGAAAUUCUCUAUUCAUUUGACUACCAACUCCAAAUUUAUUUUGCUCUCUAAGCGAUGGUUUGUAGUCCCCAUAAACUUAUGCAAAUGCAAUGGUAUGCAGCACAAGUAUUAUGAAUGAAAUGAACACUCAAACAAGUGUUGCCAGGAAUAGUAAAGUUGGCGCUUUUAAGAUUCUCAAGUUAUGCAAGAAGUGACGCAUAUAUAAUUACAUUAUAAAUGGUAUUUUGUGUUUUUAAACAAAAACAAUAGCCAUAGGUAAAUCUAAGGGUUUUCUAGUACACAAUGUGUAUGUUUGCCGACUUUUUGAACUCUUUUUUUCUACCAAUUUGUUCCACGAUUCUUGCACUUUGGAAAUCAUUCACAGCCCAAAUUUGCUUACACAAAGUCAAUGUAUUAUUAAAUAAAUCCACAAUUUUCUGAUGAAAGAAAUUUCCAAUUUGUGACAUACCGCGAUUUGCGUUGGACACAGCGUAUUUAAUACUCGUAACCCGAAUAUUUCAUGCCCUUCUG
rnacentral:lncRNA from 1 species